UACGUAGGGCGCAAGCGUUGUCCGGAAUUAUUGGGCGUAAAGAGCUCGUAGGCGGUUUGUCGCGUCUGCUGUGAAAACCUGAGGCUUAACCUCGGGUCUGCAGUCGAUACGGGCUAGCUAGAGUGUGGUAGGGGAGAUCGGAAUUCCUGGUGUAGCGGUGAAAUGCGCAGAUAUCAGGAGGAACACCGGUGGCGAAGGCGGAUCUCUGGGCCAUUACUGACGCUGAGGAGCGAAAGCGUGGGGAGCGAACAGG
rnacentral:rRNA from 1 species